CCUACGGGAGGCAGCAGUGGGGGAUAUUGCACAAUGGGGGAAACCCUGAUGCAGCAACGCCGCGUGUGGGAAGAAGGUUUUCGGAUUGUAAACCACUGUUCUUGGUGAAGAUAAUGACGGUAACCAAGGAGAAAGCUCCGGCUAACUACGUGCCAGCAGCCGCGGUAAUACGUAGGGAGCAAGCGUUGUCCGGAUUUACUGGGUGUAAAGGGUGCGUAGGCGGUCUUGCAAGUCAGACGUGAAAACCACAGGCGCAACCUGUGGACUGCGUUUGAAACUGUGGGGCUUGAGUGAAGUAGAGGUAGGCGGAAUUCCCGGUGUAGCGGUGAAAUGCGUAGAGAUCGGGAGGAACACCGAUUGCGAAGGCAGCUUACCAAGCUACUUCUGACGUUGAGGCACGAAAGCGCGGGUAUCGAACAGGAUUAGAUACCCGGGUAGUC
rnacentral:rRNA from 1 species